GCUUCCGGCCGGGCGAGGAAGGGGCGGGAGGGGGGAAGGAAGGGAAGGAGGAAGGGAAGGGAGAGGAAAAAGGAAGGAAGGAGGGAAGGAAAGAAGGAAGGAAGGAGGAGCUGAGGCGGCCGCGCACGGAGCGGCGGGGACCCGCCACGGGAGAUCCUGCGCGGCUCCCGCCGGGGCUCCCAGCCAUGCGCACGGCGGGAUGAAGCUGCAGGCGGUGGUGGAGCAGCUGCAGAAGCAGCAGCAGCAGCAGCAGCAGCAGCAGCAGCAGCAGCAGCAGGCAGCGGUGCCCAUGGAUUGCCGGGAGCGCCGCCGGGAGCCGCAGGUGCCGUUCCCGACGCCGCCGUUCCCUGCCCAGCCCCGCUCCAUCGGCCAGCGGCUGCCGGUGCCGGCUGCUGUGCCCCCGGGCAGAGCCCCCAGCGCGGCCAGCCGGGCCCCGGAGCACAGCAGCAGGAACUCUGAGGAGGAGGAAGAUGAGGAGGAGGAGGAGGAUGAGGAGGAGGAUGAAGAAGAAGACGACGGCACUGAGCUGGAGGACGGUGCCGAGGUGCCCGGCCAGGAAAGCUGCUCUGCCCUGGAGUAUUUCCACGCUCCCAAAGCCGCCCAUCCCAAGCAGAGAGCGGGCUCCAGCCCCGUGCCGGCCGUGGGGCACCCGCGGGGCGCCCAGCAGGGCGAGGAGGAGCAAGGCAAAGACUCUGCCAAGCAUCCCGGAGCUCCAGCGGGGCGCCCCGGCUGGCGCCUGGACCAGCAGCUCAAACAGAACGGCAGCGUGACCUGGAGCGACGAAGGCGACGGAUGCCGGGGCAGAGAAAUCUCCCGAGACUUUGCCAAGCUCUACGAGCUGGACAGCGAUCCUGAGCGCAAGGAGUUCCUGGAUGACCUCUUCAUCUUCAUGCAGAAGAGGGGAACUCCCAUCAACCGGAUCCCCAUCAUGGCCAAGCAGAUCCUGGAUCUCUACAUGCUCUACAAGCUGGUGACCGAGAAGGGUGGGCUGGUGGAGAUCAUCAACAAGAAGAUCUGGAGGGAAAUCACCAAAGGCCUUAACCUGCCCACCUCCAUCACCAGCGCUGCCUUCACCCUGCGCACGCAGUACAUGAAGUACCUCUACGCCUACGAGUGCGAGAAGAAGUCGCUGAGCUCCCCGGCCGAGCUCCAGGCCGCCAUCGACGGCAACCGGCGCGAGGGCCGGCGGCCCAGCUACAGCUCCUCCCUGUUCAGCUACUCGCCCUCGGCGCCAGCGCCUCCUUCCCUGCUGUCCCCCCCCAAAAUCCGCUUCCCCAUCAUCGGCAUGGCGCCGGGCAGCGGCACCGGCAACCCCCGGGUGUCUCCGGCCGUCAGGAAAGGUGACAGCGUGCCGCUGAGCGUGUCCAUGCCGAGCCGCAUGGCCGUGCCCGUGAGCCUGGGCGGGCAGCAGGGCGCCGUGGCGGCCAGGACGGCCACCCUGGAGCAGCUGAGGGAGCGGCUGGAGGCGGGAGAGCCCCCGGAGAAGAAGGCGGCGCGGAUGUCGGAGGAGGAGCAGCGGCUGGUGCAGCAGGCGCUGCAGCGCAACCUGUUCAGCGUGGCCCGGCAGAUCCCCAUGAAGAUCAAAAUCAACGGGAAAGACAAAGGCGACUCGGCGGCGCUGAACCUGUCCCACAAUGGCAUCGGCAGCAUCAACAUGUCCGUGGAGAUCAACGGCACCACCUACGCUGGGGUGCUGUUUGCCCAGAAGCCCGUGGUGCAGCUCCUGGCCGGCUCGGGAACGCAGAGCUCGUGCAGCAGCAGCAGCAGCAGCAGCAGCAGCAGCAGCAGCUCCCACUGCUCCCCCAGCCCUACCUCAUCGCGGGGCACGCCUGGCGCAGAGCCCUCCACCAGCUGGUCCCUCUGACGGGCACUGCCCCGGGGCACACAGAUACCUCACCUCAAGGAACCUGCUCUCGUGGCUGGCCAGCAACAGGAGGAUGAUGAUGAUGGUGGUGGUGGUGGUGGUGGUGGUGGUGAAACCUUCCCAUGCCAGCGAGUUUUCCUUCAUUGUCUCUUUGUCCGGCCUUUUUUUGCUUUGUUUCCCCCACCCUUUCCUUCCACCCGUUUGCUCUUUGUUUCCUCCUCCUCCUCCUCCUCCUCCCAGGGUUUGUGGUGUUCCCCUGCCCUGGAGGGGGCACUCCUGGCCUUUCUCAAUCAGGGAUGGGCUCCAGGCGUGGCCGGGACGUCACCAGGGCAGGGAAAGGGCCGGGGCUGGGCUGGGAAUCCCAAUUGUGCUGGAACCGCCAGGGCUCUUCCCAGCCACGGCUCCGUGUUUUGACAAUCCUGAGAGCCAGGGCUGCCUGGCCCUGUCCUCCCAUGGCAAUCUGCUCCUGCUCCUUCCUGCUCUGGCUCCUGAGCCUCCCUCCUGUUCCUCUCCAGGGUUUUGGCACCAUCAGCUGCUCUGGCUGGUGCCAGCUCCCCCCUGGAGCCCUGAGCACCCCUGAGUGUCCCAUGUCCCCUGAGCAAGCCUGGGCGUGCUGCUGAGGCUCUGUGUCACCCCUGAGUGUCCCCUGAGCAGUGACACAGACAGCCUGGGCGUGCUGCUGGGGCUCUGUGUCACCCCUGAGUGUCCUGUGUCCCCUGAGGAGUGACACAGACAGCCUGGGCGUGCUGCUGGGGCUCUGUGUCACCCCUGAGUGUCCCCUGAGCAGUGACAGGGACAGCCUGGGCAUGCUGCUGGGGCUCUGUGUCACCCCUGAGUGUCCCGUGUCCCCUGAGGAGUGACACAGACAGCCUGGGUGUGCUGCUGGGGCUCUGUGUCACCCCUGAGUGUCCCCUGAGCAGUGACAGGGACAGCCUGGGCGUGCUGCUGGGGCUCUGUGUCACCCCUGAGUGUCCCCUGAGCAGUGACAGGGACAGCCUGGGCGUGCUGCUGGGGCUCCGUGUCCCGGCCCUGGGCUGGCCCAGGCUCCCUGGAGCAGCUCUGGGAGCUCUGCUGGGCUGAGCACAGGGGCGCUGCUGGCAUCCAGCCGGGCACCUGGCUGUGGUUAAUGUGGGGAUCUGGGGCUCUGAACAGACCCCCCCUCCGAUUGUACCCCAGCAGGGGAAACCUUCUGCUCCCCAGGGAGAGGCAGAGCACAGGGAACCCAGCCCUUCCCAGCCCUGGCAGCCCUGGCUGGAGGCAGAGCCGGAGUUCCCUGCUCUGUGAAUCAGCUGCUCCGGUGGCCUCGUGCUGUCCCCGUCCUUCCCCGUGCCCCUGGUGACGUCCCUGCCAUCCCUCCUGCCCUGGUGACGUCCCUCCCGUGCUCCAGGCCCAAGUCAGGUUUUUUUGAGCAGAUGAAAUACCUCAGAUAUGUACUUGUUGGGUUGGUUUUGUUUGUGUUGGGUUGGUUGUUUUUUUUUAACCUCUUCAGGAAGUAUUGGCAUAUCCUAUCGCUUGGGGGUUUCGUUAGGUGGGUUUGCUGACUUUGUGUUUGCUUUUAUUUGUGUUCGCUUCUAAACGGAUCACCAAAGACAGGGAGUUCAGAAAGGCUGAGCAGAGGAGCAGUGGCUUCCCCACCCUCCAGGAGCUGAGCUCCAUCCAGCACCAUCCCAGGACACGUGUCUGGUGGGAAAACGGGGCCAAAAAGGGAUCUGUGCCUUGUCCUGGCUUUCCCCAGCCCCGGGCUCUGUGCUGGGGUUAUCCUGCCCCUCGAGGGCUCGCUGGCACCAGGAGCUGGGAAUGCACCUGUCCUGAGCAGGAUGCUGCUGUUCCCAGUGCCCUCCCUGUGCCUGGGGGAGCCAGGCUGACCCUGCAGCCUCCCUGGCAUUUCCUCCUCGCAGACUCACAGAGGAUUUUGCAGCCUCUGGGACUCUAUCAGAUGAUUUUUAUUUUUUUUUCCUUUUGGUUGUUUUUUUUUGUGUUGUUUUGUUUUUUAUUUUAUUCGGGGGUGGGGUUGGGGCUGUUUCCUCUGAGUGGGACUGGGGCACUUUUUGCUUUUCCCUCUGCUCUGCUCCCCAGCCCCGGGGAGCGGAGGCUGCUCCGGGGCGGGGUUGCUUUGUCUCACUUGCUAACGUUGUGUUUUCUUGCACAGAAAGGCACUCGAAUCACUGAAUUGCUUGGACACUACUAGAGUAUUAAUGUUUAUAAGCUUUACUCAACCUAGACUGGAACUAGCCAGGGACUAACAGAUUGUUUUGUAUCCAAUUCAGGGAAAGAAUCAGGUCGGGAAAGCCUAACAGAUACCUCAGUUAAAUAAGCUGCAACAAUAAACCGGUCCUUUUCCCAGCCCAGGGUGACAAGGACCAUCCAGACUGUGAAGAGUUAACCCUUUCCCUCGGCCUGGCUUUGGCCCUGGCAGCCUGAGCUGCGGGUCUCCUGCUGAGCUGCCAGGCUUUGGGUUGGGGGUGCUGGAAACCAGCAGAGAGCGGGGGAGGCUGGGCGGGGGCCGCCCCAGCCCCGCGCAGGUCUCAGGGUUUGAUGCUGCCAGCAGGACGUUCCCGAGGGCACUGCUCCCGCUUUGCAGCGUCGCUCCAUCCUCCCCCAGCUCCACACACCAGCCAAAAAUAAAAAACACCCAGCUUGCUCCCUCCCCCGGCGCUUCCAGGGGGGAAAAGCGACCCGGGCCCGCUCCCGGGGCUGCGGGGAAGGCGCGGAGGGUGGGAUGAGGGGAGGCUCCCGCGGCGAACGCGAACGUUCCCAGGGGAGACUGCGAUCAGAUGUUCUCCCCAAUCAGCUGCAGCAGCCUUGCUAACUAGUUUUCUUACCUAUUUAAAAGAAAAAAAAAAAUAAUAAUAAAAUAAGUAAAUAAAAACAAACGUGAUAGCCUAGG